ACUGCUCAGUAACACGUGGACAACCUGCCCUUAGGUUGGUAUAAACCCGGGAAACUGGGUAUAAUACCCGAUAGGUCUCGAUUGCUGGAAUGCAUCGAGAUUUAAAGCUCCGGCGCCUAAGGAUGGGUCUGCGGCCUAUCAGGUAGUAGUGGGUGUAGCGUACCUACUAGCCUACGACGGGUACGGGUUGUGAGAGCAAGAGCCCGGAGAUGGAUUCUGAGACACGAAUCCAGGCCCUACGGGGUGCAGCAGGCGCGAAAACUUUACGAUGCUGGCAACAGCGAUAAGGGAACCUCGAGUGCCAGGUUACAAAUCUGGCUGUCGAGAUGCCUAAAAAGCAUUUCAUAGCAAGGGCCGGGCAAGACCGGUGCCAGCCGCCGCGGUAACACCGGCGGCUCGAGUGGUAACCGUUAUUAUUGGGUCUAAAGGGUCUGUAGCCGGCCGGAUAAGUCUCUUGAGAAAUCUGGCAGCUUAACUGUCAGGCUUUCAGGAGAUACUGUCUGGCUCGAGGCCGGGAGAGGUGAGAGGUACUUCAGGGGUAGGGGUGAAAUCUUGUAAUCCUUGAAGGACCACCAGUGGCGAAGGCGUCUCACCAGAACGGACCUGACGGCAAGGGACGAAAGCUAGGGGCACGAACCGGAUUAGAUACCCGGGUAGUCCUAGCCGUAAACGAUACUCGCUAGGUGUCGGCCACGGUGCGACCGUUGUCGGUGCCGUAGGGAAGCCGUGAAGCGAGCCACCUGGGAAGUACGGCCGCAAGGCUGAAACUUAAAGGAAUUGGCGGGGGAGCAC
rnacentral:rRNA from 1 species